UACGGGGGGGGCAAGCGUUGUUCGGAAUUACUGGGCGUAAAGGGCUCGUAGGCGGCCAACUAAGUCGGAUGUGAAAUCCCCAGGCUCAACUUGGGAACUGCAUCCGAUACUGGAUGGCUUGAAUUCGGGAGAGGGAUGCAGAAUUCCAGGUGUAGCGGUGAAAUGCGUAGAUAUCUGGAGGAAUACCGGUGGCGAAGGCGGCAUCCUGGACCGACAUUGACGCUGAGGAGCGAAAGCUAGGCGAGCAAACGGG
rnacentral:rRNA from 1 species